UCGAGAAUUUUUCUCAAUGGGGGAAACCCUGAAGGAGCGACGCCGCGUGGGGGAUGAAUGGCUUCGGCCCGUAAACCCCUGUCAUUUGCGAUCAAACCUUACGACCUGACACGUCGUAAGCUGAUAGUAGCGGAAGAGGAAGGGACGGCUAACUCUGUGCCAGCAGCCGCGGUAAUACAGAGGUCCCAAGCGUUGUUCGGAUUCACUGGGCGUAAAGGGUGCGUAGGCGGUCGGGUAAGUCUGACGUGAAAUCUUCGAGCCUAACUCGGAAACUGCGUCGGAUACUAUUCGGCUAGAGGAAUGGAGGGGAGACUGGAAUACUUGGUGUAGCAGUGAAAUGCGUAGAUAUCAAGUGGAACACCAGUGGCGAAGGCGAGUCUCUGGACAUUUCCUGACGCUGAGGCACGAAAGCCAGGGGAGCAAACGGGAUUAGAUACCCAAGUAGUCCCUGAGCGGGCUGGCAAGGCGCAU
rnacentral:rRNA from 1 species